rnacentral:rRNA from 1 species
AGACUGGAUAGGAAGAUAAAAGGCAUCUUUUAUCUUUUAAAAGACCUAGUAAUAGGUAUGCUUUAGGAGGGGCUUGCGCCAUAUUAGUUAGUUGGUAGGGUAAUGGCCUACCAAGACGAUGAUGUGUAGCUGGACUGAGAGGUUGAACAGCCACAUUGGGACUGAGACACGGCCCAAACUCCUACGGGAGGCAGCAGUAGGGAAUUUUCGGCAAUGGAGGAAACUCUGACCGAGCAACGCCGCGUGAAUGACGAAGUACUUCGGUAUGUAAAGUUCUUUUAUCAAGGAAGAAAAGCAAAUGGCGAACCAUUUGUUUGCCGGUACUUGAUGAAUAAGCCCCGGCUAAUUAUGUGCCAGCAGCCGCGGUAAGACAUAAGGGGCAAGUGUUAUCCGGAAUUAUUGGGCGUAAAGGGUGCGUAGGCGGUCUAGUAAGUCAGUGGUGUAAUGGCAACGCUUAACGUUGUCCGGCUAUUGAAACUGCUAAACUUGAGUUAGAUAGAGGCGAGUGGAAUUCCAUGUGUAGCGGUAAAAUGCGUAAAUAUAUGGAGGAACACCAGAGGCGUAGGCGGCUCGCUGGGUCUUAACUGACGCUGAGGCACGAAAGCGUGGGGAGCAAACAGGAUUAGAUACCCUGGUAGUCCACGCCGUAAACGAUGAGUACUAAGUGUCGGGUUAAACCGGUACUGAAGUUAACACAUUAAGUACUCCGCCUGAGUAGUACGUACGCAAGUAUGAAACUUAAAGGAAUUGACGGGACUCCGCACAAGCGGUGGAUCAUGUUGUUUAAUUCGAAGAUACCCGAAAAACCUUACCAGGUCUUGACAUGUUUUUGCAAAAUGAUAGUAAUAUCGUGGAGGUUACCAGAAACACAGGUGGUGCAUGGUUGUCGUCAGCUCGUGUCGUGAGAUGUUAGGUUAAGUCCUAAAACGAGCGAAACCCUUAUCGUUAGUUGCCAGCACGUUAUGGUGGGGACUUUAACGAGACUGCCAAUGAUAAAUUGGAGGAAGGUGAGGAUCACGUCAAAUCAGCAUGCCCCUUAUGACCUGGGCUACAAACGUGAUACAAUGGCUGUUACAAAGGGUAGCUGAAACGCAAGUUCUUGGCCAAUCCCCAAAAACAGUCCCAGUCCGGAUUGAAGUCUGCAACUCGACUUCAUGAAGUUGGAAUCGCUAGUAAUCGCGAAUCAGCAUGUCGCGGUGAAUACGUUCUCGGGGUUUGUACACAC